rnacentral:rRNA from 1 species
UACGUAGGGUGCAAGCGUUAAUCGGAAUUACUGGGCGUAAAGCGUGCGCAGGCGGUGAUGUAAGACAGUUGUGAAAUCCCCGGGCUCAACCUGGGAACUGCAUCUGUGACUGCAUCGCUGGAGUACGGUAGAGGGGGAUGGAAUUCCGCGUGUAGCAGUGAAAUGCGUAGAGAUGUGGAGGAACACCGAUGGCGAAGGCAAUCCCCGUGGACCUGUACUGACGCUCAUGCACGAAAGCGUGGGGAGCAACGAGG